ACGGGUCAUCAUUUAUUGAGAUGAGAAUUCACAUAAAGUAACAUCAUACAGAAAAUCGUUUCCAGGCCUUAAGAAAAAUGAUUGUCACUCACUGUGCUUCACAAAAAUUUCUUUUAAUGAAUAAAUAAUUUGAUGAAAUCAAAAAUAUUUACAAUAUAAACACAUGGAAAAGCUCUGGGUCCGUGAAUCUGAU
rnacentral:ncRNA from 3 species